CAGCCGCCGCGGUAAUACCAGCCCCGCGAGUGGUCGGGACGGUUAUUGGGCCUAAAGCGCCCGUAGCCGGCCCGGCAAGUCCCUCCUUAAAGCCUCGGGCCCAACCCGAGGACGGGGGGGAUACUGCCGGGCUAGGGGGCGGGAGAGGCCGGCGGUACUCCCGGGGUAGGGGCGAAAUCCGUUAAUCCCGGGCGGACCACCAGUGGCGAAGGCGGCCGGCUGGAACGCGCCCGACGGUGAGGGGCGAAAGCCGGGGGAGCGAACCGGAUUAGAUACCCGGGUAGUCCCGGCUGUAAACGAUGCGGGCUAGCUGUGGGGCGGGCUUAGAGCCCGCCCAGUGGCGCAGGGAAGCCGUUAAGUCCGCCGCCUGGGGAGUACGGCCGCAAGGCUGAAACUUAAAGGAAUUGGCGGG
rnacentral:rRNA from 1 species